GGAUUUAGCUCAGCGGUAGAGCACUUGCCUAGCAAGCACAAGGCCCUGGGUUCAGUCCCCAGCUCCG
rnacentral:tRNA from 1 species